UACGGGGGGGGCAAGCGUUGUUCGGAAUUACUGGGCGUAAAGGGCUCGUAGGCGGCCAACUAAGUCAGACGUGAAAUCCCUCGGCUUAACCGGGGAACUGCAUCUGAUACUGGAUGGCUUGAGAUUGGGAGAGGGAUGCGGAAUUCCAGGUGUAGCGGUGAAAUGCGUAGAUAUCUGGAGGAACACCGGUGGCGAAGGCGGCAUCCUGGACCGACACUGACGCUGAGGAGCGAAAGCCAGGGGAGCAAACGGG
rnacentral:rRNA from 1 species